rnacentral:rRNA from 1 species
GCCUAAUACAUGCAAGUCGAGCGGACAGAAGGGAGCUUGCUCCCGGAUGUUAGCGGCGGACGGGUGAGUAACACGUGGGUAACCUGCCUGUAAGACUGGGAUAACUCCGGGAAACCGGAGCUAAUACCGGAUAGUUCCUUGAACCGCAUGGUUCAAGGAUGAAAGACGGUUUCGGCUGUCACUUACAGAUGGACCCGCGGCGCAUUAGCUAGUUGGUGGGGUAAUGGCUCACCAAGGCGACGAUGCGUAGCCGACCUGAGAGGGUGAUCGGCCACCCUGGGACUGAAACACGGCCCAGACUCCUACGGGAGGCAGCAUUAGGGAAUCUUCCCCAAUGGACGAAAGUCUGACUGAGCAACGCCGCGUGAGUGAUGAAGGUUUUCGGAUCGUAAAGCUCCGUUGUUAAGGAAGA